AUUGAACGCUGGCGGCAGGCUUAACACAUGCAAGUCGAGCGAGCGGCGGACGGGUGAGUAAUUUAUGGGAAACUGCCUGAUGGAGGGGGAUAACUACUGGAACCGGUAGCUACUGCCGCAUACCAUCCGUUGUGCCCAGAGGGGAUUAGCUAGUAGGAGGGGUAAUGGCUCACCUAGGCGACGAUCCCUAGCUGGUCUGCGAGGAUGACCAGCCACACUGGAACUGAGACACGGUCCAGACUCCUACGGGAGGCAGCAGUGGGGAAUAUUGGACAAUGGGAGAAAGCCUGAUGCAGCCAUGCCGCGUGUGUGAAGAAGGCCUUCGGGUUGUAAAGCACUUUCAGCGAGGAGGCGUUACUCGCAGAAGAAGCACCGGCUAACUCCGUGCCAGCAGCCGCGGUAAUAC
rnacentral:rRNA from 1 species